UUAAUCCAUUUUUUUUUGGAACCUCCCUAGCCAAGAUACUGAAAAGAAUGAGAUUUAUUCGGCAACUUUCUUCCCAGAUGGGAAAGUGAUUCACAAAUAGUGGAAUUAAUGCAAUUCAUUGAUGUGUUGUUCAAGAUUCCCGAAGGCACCUGGAAAUACUAUGGGAAGUGCCCUGAGAAGACAUUAGUAGUGAACGAUGAAGAUGUCUUUCCCAAACCUUCCACCAUGAGCAACACAACAGACAUGGAAUUAAAAGGACAGCUCUAACCGUCAAGCCAGUCAUAAGGAAGGGGCUCUUCAAUGCGCUCGGAAACACAGGAGGCUAACUGGAAACUUCACCUUUGACACACAGAGCAGAGCCUAUGCACUGGGCUGCUUCUGCCCACUGGGAUGGAAUUUUCCGCCCCAAGGAGGGAAGCAAAGAACGGCUCUGGGCUCCUAUUGGAAGAAGUGCAGUCCUGCUCCCUUGCUGUUUCCAUGGUAUGAUCGAGACUGCAUCCGGAGGAAGACUGAGUCCCUGACAAGGCUAAAAGGACACAACUUAGUCUCUGAUGAACUAGUCAAGUGCCUGGCAGUGAUAAAGGUCCAUACACUUUUUCUGGGUUUAUAGGAAGAAGUUGCCUUAUCUCCCAAUUUCCCGUUCAAUUUCUGACAAGUUCAGCACCUACUACUGUUCCAGAAAUGCAUUUGUGCUACAAGUGUGGCAAUCAAUGAACCUAAUGUCCAGUUGCAUAGAGUCAUGGACCAGUCAAGCAUCUUCUUUUACAGACACCAAAAAUGAGACCCAGAGAGCUAUAAGAUUUUUCAAAACUAGACAGCUGACUAAAAUCUUCCUGCUUUCUUUAUAGGCACGGGGUGGGGGUGAGACGGUGCUCAGCACAAUAUUUAUUGCUAUUAUCUAGAUCACAAUCAAAACCAACUUGGUGGGGGCAGAGAGUGGAGCAGUGGAUUCAACUUUAGUUUUCAGAUGUCAUGGGCAGGGGGAAGGAGGCUUUAUAUUCUUGUUAAUGAAAGCAUCUCAGCUGAAAGAAAAACUGUUCACCUUAAAAGUUAGUCUGCUUCUAGUGAGGCACAAUUUGGACUCCAAAAAUGAGGGAAAGCCAUGCCAGUGUAGACUGUUACUGUGGGCAGCAGUGUAGCAGUGUAGAAUGUGGAAUAACACACAGCCAAAUGAGUUCCGACUCCUCUCAAUAGUCCCAACUCACUCUGGGGCAGCCUCCCCAGAUUCCCUCUCUCUCUAAAGCUCCUCUAGAAUAUUUCUCCACACUCCUGGAUGAGCUCACUGUCUCCUCCUUCAUCUUUCUCAGUUGUUUUUCUUGUAUAAUAGUUCCUUUCUGGACAUCUCAAAUUUGCAUCUCUGCUUUUAAUUGUGUGCAUAUGUGUGUGUCCUAUAUUCAUAGCAUAUAAUAUGUAUGUACUGCAUAGAAUAUCUGUAUGUGAUAGAUAUAGAAAUAGAGAUAGAGAUAUAGAUCCCUGCUACUUAUCCAGAGUGUGAAGAAUCUUGUUUCAGUCUUCUCUAUCUGCAGCUGUUGCCAGUUGUGAAAAAAAGAAUGAGUGGGUUGGUUGUAUCAUGGGCUGAUUUGGGACAUGAUUCGAGAGAAAUCUUUUGCCAUCUUGGUUCUCAUGUUCACCUCCCACCACUCCAGCUAAAGAGAGGGGAUAUUAAAAUUAUUUCCCCACACCAGUCCAGGAAGAAGGUCAUGUAACUCCCAGAUGCAGAGACUAGAAUUAACUCUUCGAGUCCAGAGGUGUUUACAACCUUAGAGUCCUAUUCAUCAUACCACGUAUACUAAUUCUACAUGAAUAAACCGAACUGUCAGAAAUCCUUGUUGAGAAACCAUGUCAUAGUUAAGCUUGUGCGUCUGAUUUAUUCCACUUAACAUUAUGGUCUCAAGGUGCAACCCUUUUCCUGCAAAGGACCCCAGUUUAUCUUUCUUUAUGGCAGAGUAGUACUCCAUGAGAAAUCCAAAUUAU